rnacentral:rRNA from 1 species
UACGUAGGGUCCGAGCGUUGUCCGGAAUUAUUGGGCGUAAAGGGCGCGUAGGCGGCUUGAUGUGUCAAAGGUGAAAUCCCUCGGCUCAACUGAGGAACUGCCUUUGAAACUGUCUGGCUUGAGGCCGGGAGAGGGUAGCGGAAUUCCCAGUGUAGCGGUGAAAUGCGUAGAUACUGGGAGGAACACCGGUGGCGAAGGCGGCUACCUGGACCGGUUCUGACGCUGAUGCGCGAAAGCGUGGGUAGCAAACAGG